rnacentral:rRNA from 1 species
UUCCUGCCAGUAGUCAUAGUGCUUGUCUCAAAGAUUAAGCCAUGCAUGUGUAAUAUGAACUAAUUCAGACUGUGAACUGCGAAUGGCAUUAAAUCAGUUAUAGUUUGUUUGAUGGUUAUCUGCUACUCCGGAUAACCGUAGUAAUUCCUAGAGCUAUACGUGCACAAACCCCGACUUCUGGAAAGGGAAUUGCAUUAUUAGAUAAAAGGUCGACGCGGGCUCUGCCGUUGCUCUGAUGAUUCAUGUAUAACUGUCGAUCCGGAUCGCACAGGCGCAUUCCGUGCCGGCGAUACGCAUCACAAUCCAAAAUUUCUGGCCCUAAUUCAACUUCGAUGGUAUGGAUAGAGGACUACCAUGGUGUGACGGGUACGGAGAAUUAGGUUCGAUUCCGGAGAGGGAGCCUGAGAAACGCUACCACAUCCAAGGAAGGCAGCAGGCGCGCAAAUUACCCAAUCCUGACACGGGAGGUAGUACAACAUAAAUAACAACUACCGGUGGCUCUUUCGAGGUCUGGUAAUUGGAAUGAGUACAAUCUAAAAUCCCUUAACGAGGAUCAUUGGAGGGCAAGUCUGUGCCAGCAAGCCGCGGUAAUUCCAGCUCCAAAAGCGUAUAUUUAAGUGUUGCAGUUAAAAAGCUCGUAGUUGGACCCUUGGGUUGGGUCGACCGUCCGCCUCGCGGUGUGCACACUGUCGCUUCCCUUCUGCCGCUGGAUGCGCUCCUGGCCUUAACUGGCCGGGUCGUGUCCUCCGGCGCUGUUACUUUGAAGAAAUUAGAGUGCUCAAAAGCAAAGCCUACGCUCUGGAUACAUUAGCAUGGGAUAACUCAUAGGAUUUCGGUCCUAUUUUGUGUGGCCCUCGGGAAUCCGGAAGUAAUGAUUACAGGGAACAGUCGGGGCAUUCGUAAUUUCAUAGUCAAGAGGUGAAAUUCUUGGAUUUAUAAAGACGAACAACGCGAAAGCAAUUUGCCAAGGAUUUGUUUUCAAUAAUCAAGAACGAAAGUUGGGGGCUCGGAAGGACGGAUCAAAGAUUUACCGGUCCUAGUCUCAAAACCAUAAACGAUUGCCGACCAGGGGAUUCGGCGGAUGUUGCUUUUAGGACUCCGCCGGCACCCAUAUGAGAAAUCAAAGUCUUUGGGUUCCGGGGGGAGUAUGGUCCGCAAGUGAAAACUUAAAGGAAUUGACGGAAGGGCACCACCAGGAGUGGAGCCUGCGGCUUAUUUGACUCAAAACACCCGGGGACAAAGCUUACCAGGUCGACAUAGUAAGGAUUGACAGACUGAGAAAGCUCUUUCUUGAUUCUAAUGGGUGGUGGUGCUAAUGGCGCGUCUUAGUUGGUGGACGCGAUUUGUCUGGUUAAUUCGUUACGAACGAGAGCCUCAGCUGCUACUAGCUAUGCGGAGUGACCCUCCGCGGCCAGCUUCUUAGAGGGACUAAUGGCCUUUUUAGGCCAAGGAAGUUGAGGCAACUAACAGGAUCUGUGAUGCCCUUAGAUGAUUCUGGGCCGCACGCGCGCUACACUGAUGUAUCAACGAGUCUAUAGCUUGGCCGACAGGCCCGGGUAAUUUUGAAUUUUCAUCGUGAAAAAAAAAAUGGGGGGGGAAAAAAAAAUAGAUCAUUGCAAUUGAUGGUCCUUCAACGAGGAAUUCCUAGUAAGCGCGAGUCAUACAGCUCCGUUGACUACGUCCCUGCCUUUGGUUACACACCGCCCGUCGCCCUACCGAUUGAAUGGUCCGGUGAAGUGUUUCGGAUCGCAGGCGACGUGGGCGGUUCCCGCCGGCGACAUGGGUGCGGCGAGGAGAGUCGCAUUGCGGUGACCUUAUCAUUUUAGAGGAAGGGAGAAGUCGUACAGGUUUCCGUAGGUGAACCUGCGGAAG